rnacentral:lncRNA from 1 species
AUGUCUUUUGCGUCUGUCCCUGGUGUGUUCCCAGCAAAAAUGGUAGUGAAAGUGGUCCUAAGCAGAGCAGGAAAUAAAAUGGAAACUGAGCAGAAACAGAAAAGGAAAUGUGCUGAGGAAGGCAGACAGGCCGCACACCUGCUGGGGCUCCAGGUUCUAAUCUGGGAGAGUGAGAAAAAGGAGGUGGAACAGACAGAAACAAGCCAAAAGGCACUGGUCGUGAGAGAGACGCUCAGGCAUCGAGAAACAAUGUCUUGACACCCACGGGAAAGUGGGCGGCACCAGGCCAUGGACCCCUCUGUGUCUGUCUGCCCUACACUUGCACCCUUGCUGGUCCUGGCCUGCAGGUUCUCUAUUCUUCCAAGAUUUUGGUAGCAUGUAGUUUCCAGAGCAACACCAUGAGGAGUAUUUGUCCUCAAGGCCUAGAAAGCCACGUGCCACCCCAGGCCCUUGGGACCCCAGCUCAGUGUGGCCGUCUUCACAGUACUUUCAGCGUGGUGGAUCACAUCUCCAUCGUUAGAGACAUGUUGUACCAAUCUCCACGUCGUACCUAAGACGACGGGAAUCAGGCGUUCCCCAGAUCUUCUUUCUGCAUUAAACAGAGAGACAAAAAUGUGUUCCCAUCUGGUAGAAAUUUCACUUGUUUUUGCCCUUACUGCUCCAACUCAGCAUUCUUGCCUGAAAAUUUCCCUCGGGUAUUAUCUAGAGGAUCUUUGUUAUCAGCAUCGUUACUCUCGUAUUUCCUUAGGUCCUUCUUUUCAGCUUGAAAAUUCUGUGAUUCUCUACAAUUGGUGAGGAGGGUUGGGGAAUCUCUAUUAAAAGAAUUUUUUGUGUGUUUGUUUCAAACCAUGCCUUAGGGAAAAUUUCAAAUAUCUACAAAAACCCAGAAGAGUAUAAUGAAUGCUCCUGUACCCAAUGAUCUGAUUUCAUAAUGAUCUACUCUAAGGCCAGUUUAUGUACUAUCUACACCUCCACCUUCUCUACCCCUCUGGAUUAUUUUGAAGCAGAUUCUUAACUAUUUUAGCAUAAAUCUCAAGAAGAUGACUUCUAAAAAUUUAGUGCAGUUUUUAAAUGUGGGUUUAUAUGUGUAAUGUUGCCUGCAAAUAUGGAUCUUCUUCAGAAGAUGACCUAUAGUGCUCAUCAAAUUUUUUAACAGGUUCAGGAGUCUUUU